rnacentral:rRNA from 1 species
AUUGAACGCUGGCGGCAGGCCUAACACAUGCAAGUCGAACGAGUGGCGGACGGGUGAGUAAUGUCUGGGAAACUGCCCGAUGGAGGGGGAUAACUACUGGAAACGGUAGCUAAUACCGCAUACCAUCGGAUGUGCCCAGAUGGGAUUAGCUAGUAGGUGGGGUAACGGCUCACCUAGGCGACGAUCCCUAGCUGGUCUGAGAGGAUGACCUGCCACACUGGAACUGAGACACGGUCCAGACUCCUACGGGAGGCAGCAGUUGGGAAUAUUGCACAAUGGGCGCUAGCCUGAUGCAGCCAUGCCGCGUGUCUGAAGAAGGCCUUCGUGUUGUAAAUUACUUUCAGCGAGGAGGCGUUACUCGCAGAAGAAGCACCGGCUAACUCCGUGCCAGCAGCCGCGGUAAUAC